AAGAUCAAGAUUCUACUUAGCUACUCUAGAAUGCACACAAUAAGAUCUAAUUCUCUGAAGGAUGUUAAUUAAUCACCUUAGAAAUUCUAAAUCAAUAAUUCAUCAUUAACAUAUCAAACCCUAAGUCUUACAAUGCAUCUACUCAAACAUUAUAGAUGAAGACAUAAUCAAAGAAAGAAUAGAAAUCAUAUAAAUCAAUAGAAAAACCAAUAGAGUUCCAAGAGGACUCUAAAGGAGUUCAUCUCUUCUCUCCUAAAUAGGAAUGUUGUCAUGGGUAAAAUUACCCGAUCCGACCCGAACCUGAAUUAAACCCGUCC
rnacentral:lncRNA from 1 species